rnacentral:rRNA from 1 species
GAUCCUGCUCAGGAUGAACGCUAGCGACAGGCCUAACACAUGCAAGUCGAGGGGCAGCGGAGAGGUAGCAAUACCUUUGCCGGCGACCGGCGCACGGGUGAGUAACACGUAUGCAAUCCACCUGUAACAGGGGGAUAACCCGGAGAAAUCCGGACUAAUACCCCAUAAUAUGGGCGCUCCGCAUGGAGAGCCCAUUAAAGAGAGCAAUUUUGGUUACAGACGAGCAUGCGCUCCAUUAG